rnacentral:rRNA from 1 species
UACGUAGGGUGCAAGCGUUGUCCGGAAUUAUUGGGCGUAAAGAGCUCGUAGGCGGUUCGUCGCGUCGGCUGUGAAAACCCGGAGCUCAACUCCGGGCCUGCAGUCGAUACGGGCGGACUCGAGUUCGGCAGGGGAGACUGGAAUUCCUGGUGUAGCGGUGAAAUGCGCAGAUAUCAGGAGGAACACCGGUGGUGAAGGCGGGUCUCUGGGCAGUAACUGACGCUGAGGAGCGAAAGCGUGGGGAGCGAACAGG